UGCAUUCCUACCUGCGGGGGCUGCAGUUUUUGAAGCAGAACCCUGUGAAGAAAAGAGUUAAAAUUAUUUGGACGUGGGGCCUUUGAAAGUUGAUGAAGUCUUGAAGGUGGAACUCUUAUGAACGGGAUUCAUGCCCAAGAGAGACCCCAAAGCGCUGUCCUGCCACCUCGGGCCAUGUGAGGAUCCAGGGGAGGACAGCUGUCUAUGAGGAAGCUGGCUCUCACCAGACACCGAAUCUGCUGGUGCCUUCAUCUAGGUCCCGGCCUCCAGAAUGCAAGGAAAACGCAGCCUCCUAAAGACUAAGUAACCGCCUGAGGUCACUCUGCCAGUGAAUGAAGGAGCUACAAUUUGAAACCAGGUUUAACUCCAGAGUCCUUGAACUGCACAUGAAUCCUUUUUUGUUGCUGUUGUUUAAAAUGGAACUGUAAAGUCCUCUCCCCUCCCCACAAAUAUCUGAG